UCUAUAUAUAAUAUAAUUAACAGAAUUCAGUUUUGGCGGGAGGAAGGUACAACUCAUUAUCAGCACAACUGGGAGGCCCCCACAUUUCUGGGAUUGGCUGGGCAGCCGGCGUUGAAAGAAUUAUUGAUAUACUCAACAGUAAAAAUAUUCACGUGGCACCGUUAAAAAAAGAAAUAUUAUUGGCCGUGUUAGAAGUGCAAUUUAAAGAAGAUUCUAACAAAAUUUCCACUAUCACUUACUUUUGUAUGCAAGUUGCACAACAAUUGCGGGAAAAUGGCUUCAAAGUCCUUCAAUUAUAUGAAGGACCCAUUUCUAAAAAACUGUCUAAAGCCGUUAACAAGGGCGCCCAUGCUGGGAUUUUAAUUGGAGCGACGGAAUUUGAAAAAAAGGAAGUCUUAUUGAAAAAUUUUAGUACUGGACAGCAAGAAAACAUUAAAUUUAGUGAACUUUUAUUUGA